rnacentral:tRNA from 1 species
ACCUUGCUGGCUCAGUUGUAAAGCAUGUGACUCUAGAUCUCAGGAUUGUGAGUUCAAGCCCCAUGUUAGGUG